GUCCGGAUUACCCGUGAAAGCCAGAACAAUGGGAUUGAAAAUCCCCGUGUCCUUGGUUCGAUUCCGAGUCCGGGCACCA
rnacentral:tRNA from 12 species